GAUGAACGCUGGCGGCGUGCCUAAUACAUGCAAGUCGAACGCAUUGAGAGAAGUGCUUGCACUUUUCAAUUUGAGUGGCGAACGGGUGAGUAACACGUGGGCAACCUACCUGAUAGCGGGGGAUAACGAGUGGAAACAUUCGCUAAUACCGCAUAACACUAGAGAAGGCAUCUUCUUUAUUUAAAAGGCGCUUUCAAGCGUCACUAUCAGAUGGGCCCGCGGUGCAUUAGUUAGUUGGUGGGGUGAAGGCCUACCAAGACGAUGAUGCAUAGCCGAGUUGAGAGACUGAUCGGCCACAUUGGGACUGAUACACGGCCCAAACGCCUAUGGGAGGCUGCAGUAGGGAAUCUUCCACAAUGGACGAAAGUCUGAUGGAGCAACGCCGCGUGUGUGAUGAAGGCUUUCGGGUCGUAAAGCACUGUUGUAUGGGAAGAAAUGCUAGGCUAGGAAAUGAGCUUAGUUUGACGGUACCAUACCAGAAAGGGACGGCUAAAUACGUGCCAGCCGCCGCAGUAA
rnacentral:rRNA from 1 species